rnacentral:rRNA from 1 species
GACGAACGCUGGCGGCGUGCUUAACACAUGCAAGUCGAACGGUAAGGCCCUUCGGGGUACACGAGUGGCGAACGGGUGAGUAACACGUGGGUGAUCUGCCCUGCACUUCGGGAUAAGCCUGGGAAACUGGGUCUAACACCGGAUAGGACCCUGGGAUACAUGUCCUGGGGUGGAAAGCUUUUGCGGGGUGGGAUGGCCCGCGGCCUAUCAGCUUGUUGGUGGGGUGAUGGCCUACCAAGGCGACGACGGGUAGCCGGCCUGAGAGGGUGACCGGCCACACUGGGACUGAGAUACGGCCCAGACUCCUACGGGAGGCAGCAGUAGGGAAUAUUGCACAAUGGGCGCAAGCCUGAUGCAGCGACGCCGCGUGAGGGAUGACGGCCUUCGGGUUGUAAACCUCUUUCAGCACCGACGAAGCGCAAGUGACGGUAGGUGCAGAAGAAGGACCGGCCAACUACGUGCCAGCAGCCGCAGUAA